rnacentral:tRNA from 3 species
UGGGCUGUCGUCAAGCGGUAAGACACAGCACUUUGACUGCUGCAUUCGUAGGUUCGAAUCCUGCCAGCCCAGCCA